GGGCAAUGACGAUUGCUUUGUGAUAGGUCUCGUUCGUCGUAAUGGCAUUGUUUUAUGCCUUGACGACCAUCCUGAUAUAUCACCACCCAUAAACUGAGUCC